UCGAAUAGGGUUUAACAGCGGCGAUUUCUUUUUGCAUUCCGAGAGUUUUAGAAAUGGAUUUGGAUGUUAGAGUUGGAAAGGAUGACCUUCAGGUACGGAAAGGUUUUUUGGCUUAACAUUGAGUGCUAUUCGGUCAAAGUGGAUUGUGCGCUUUACUUUCAAGAUGACUCAAGCUCCCACUGAGGACAUGCCAAUGAUAGCGGUGAGAAACGAAGAAGUGGAAAAGCAAUUCACUCCUGAAGAAAUAUCUUCAUUCAUUAUUGAGGGUCUCAAGAAGAUGGCCGAGGAGACCCUUGGGUGCAGCACCGUGGAUGCUAUUUGUACUGUCCCCAACCACUUCAAGAAGCCCGAGGUGGAACGUAUGAUGGAUGCAAUGGCACUUGCAGAUCUGAAAGUUCUUAAGGCCUACCCUGAAGCUGUUGCAGUUUCCUAUGCUUGUGGAUUUGAGGAGUCGUCCCGAAGCCUGUCACGAAAAAUGUGCUGAUCUUUGAUGUUGGUGGGACGACAUCAAAGGUGAUUUUGCUCACAGUGGGGAAGAAUAAGAUGGUGGACUACAAAAAUACUGUUGUACAGGAUAUGGGUGGUGAAAGCUUCGACAAAAUUAUGGUGUUCUACCUUUAGGAUGAGUUCAAGAAGAGGCAUGGUGCUGUCCACGUGGAAUGGAAUGCGUUCAGGCGACUACUACUCCCAUGUGAGAUUUUGCUGUGGCCCUCGUUGAGGUGGAAUCCUUUGUAGAUGGAAUCGAUUUAAGCUCUUCCAUCACACGAACCAAAUUGAAGAGUUUAAGCGGAAUAAUUUUCAGUGUUUGGUUGACAUGGUCGACACAUAUUUGAAGAGCCUUAAAAUGGACAAAAGAAUUGUGCAUGAAGUUGUUCUUCAAUGCUCAAAUAUUCCAAAAAUUCAAGAGUUGUUGCAGGCUUACUUCGAGGGGAAGGAGUUGUCUGAUUAAACCUGAAGAGGUUGUAGCUAAUGGUGUGGUAAUGAUAGAUUCUAAUAAGAAGGGGAAAGAUGUUGGACAAGGGGAAAGAUGUUGGACAUCAACCGACCCAGUUACAAUGGGUCGGUUUUCAGCUUUGGAGAACCAGGUGAGAGCACUCCAAGAUACUGUAAGUUGGAUGAAAGAGAGACCGAACAAAGACGGGAAGUCUUCACUCGCUGGAAAUGAUGUUCACCGCUAUGGGAUUGGGAGGGCAAUUUUGGGAUUUUUAAAAACAUUUUGGUAAAAAUUGACUAUUUUGCACCAAAAAAAUAGUAGGGAGGUAUUUUUUGCACCUUUUGUAUAUAUAUAUAGUAGGGGUGUUUUUUGCGCUUUUUCCUUUUUAUUUUUUAAAUUUUUUAUUUAUUUUAUUUGUAUAAUUUUUUAUAGAAAAUUUAAUUUUAAUUAUUUUUUAGAAAUUAUUUUCUUUUUGUUAUUAAGUUUCUUUAUUUAUUUUCUUUUUGCUAUUAGGUUUGUUUAUUUUUUAGUUUACUUCUAUAUUAGGUUUUUUAUUCUCUACUUGUAAAUUUUUAUUGAAUUUUAAAAGAUUGUACACUUGGCUUUUGUCACGUGUGAUGAAUGCUUGUGCACCUGUUAUUUUACGAUUAUGAGAUUGAUGAAUGCUUGUGCGGUA